rnacentral:rRNA from 1 species
UACGUAGGCAGCGAGCGUUGUUCGGAGUUACUGGGCGUAAAGCGUGCGUAGGCGGUGUCUCAAGUUUGUUGUGAAAUCUCCCGGCUCAACCGGGAGGGUGCGGCGAAUACUGAGAUGCUGGAGUGCGGGAGAGGUAAGCGGAAUUCCUGGUGUAGCGGUGAAAUGCGUAGAUAUCAGGAGGAACACCUGCGGUGUAGACGGCUUACUGGACCGUAACUGACGCUGAGGCACGAAAGCGUGGGUAGCAAACAGG